rnacentral:tRNA from 1 species
UCCCAAGUGUUUCAGCUGGUAAAGAAUCCACCUUCAAUGCAGGAAACCUGGGUUCAAUCCCUAGUUUGGGAA